rnacentral:rRNA from 1 species
AACGAACGCUGGCGGCAGGCCUAAUACAUGCAAGUCGAACGCCCCUUCGGGGGAGUGGCGCACGGGUGAGUAACGCGUGGGAAUGUGCCCUUGGGUACGGAACAACACCGGGAAACUGGUGCUAAUACCGUAUAAUGUCUUCGGACCAAAGAUUUAUCGCCCAGGGAUCAGCCCGCGUAGGAUUAGCUAGUUGGUGAGGUAAUGGCUCACCAAGGCUACGAUCCUUAGCUGGUCUUAGAGGAUGAUCAGCCACACUGGAACCGAGACACGGUCCAGACUCCUACGGGAGGCAGCAGUAAGGAAUAUUGGACAAUGGGGGAAACCCUGAUCCAGCCAUGCCGCGUGAAUGAAGAAGGCCUUAGGGUUGUAAAGUUCUUUUAGUGGUGACGAUAAUGACGGUAGCCACAGAAUAAGCUCCGGCUAACUCCGUGCCAGCCGCCGCCGUAA